UACGUAGGGGCUAGCGUUGUCCGGAAUCAUUGGCGUAAGAGCGUGUAGGCGGCCCGGUAAGUCCGCUGUAAAGUCAAAGGCUCAACCUUUGAAUGUCAGUGGAUACUGCCGGGCUAGAGUCCGGAAGAGGCGAGUGGAACUCCUGGUGUAGCGGUGGAAUGCGCAGAUAUCAGGAAGAACACCAACGGCGAAGGCAGCUCGCUGGGACGGUACUGACGCUGAGACGCGAAGCGUGGGAGCGAACAGG
rnacentral:rRNA from 1 species